UGAUUGUGGAAGAUAGAAACAGUGGAUGGGAUGGGCCAGUGUGAAAGCCAAAAGCCUGUGGAAAGCCAAGGAAGCUGCCCAGGAAAUUAAUGACAGAACUUUGGACUAGGGAAAUGGUAUAGAGAGGAGAGGAAUAGAUGGACUCAAGGACCAUUUAGGAAAUAAAGUGGACAUGAUCAAGUGAUAGGUUUUCCAGGAAGGAUGAGGGUGAGAGAGUUGUUUAGAAUGACUUCCAGUUUUCUGGAAUAGAACUGUUGCCAGGCAACAGAAUAAAAGCCAGAAGGGAAUAGGAGAAGGAUGAACCACAUUUUCCCUUGCAGUUGUUAUUAUGCCCAUGUUUUCAAAAUAAAGGGUGUUGGGAGUAUGGGCAUGCACAGCUCCUUGAUUGCCUUCCCAAUGGUGCUUUAAGAAGAUUGCAUGUUGUCUCACUCCAGUCAGAAUGUCAGCCAUCAAGAAUACAAAUAAUAGUAAAUGCUGGAAAAUGCAGAGAAAAAGGAACAUGCUUACAUUGUUGGUGGGACUGUAAAUUAGUACAACCACUAUGAAAAUCAACAUGAAGUUUCCUCAAAAGACUAGGCAUGGAACCACCAUAUGAUUGAGCUAUAUCACUCCUUGGUGUUUAUCCAGAAUAAUUAAAGUCAUAAUACUAUAGCAAUACCUGCAUACCCAUGUUCAUUGCAGCAGAAUUCAAAAUAACCUAACUAUGGAACCAACCUAAGUGUCUGUUAAUAGAUGAAUGGAGAAAGAAAAUGUGAUAUUCAGCUAUAAAAAAAAAUGAAACUGUCAUUUACAGGAAAAUGGAUGGAACUUGAAAACAUAUUAUGUUAAAUUAAAUAAGCCAUAUUUGGAAAGUCCAAGGUCAUAUGUUUUCUCUUAUAUAUAGAAGCUAGAGAGGAAAAAGAAAAAGGAAGAUGGGGAGGGGGAAAAUAUCGUGAAAUUAGA
rnacentral:lncRNA from 1 species